GACGAACGCUGGCGGCGUGCUUAACGCAUGCAAGUCGAACGGAAAGGCCUCUUUCGGGGGGUACUCGAGUGGCGAACGGGUGAGUAACACGUGAGUAACCUGCCCUUGACUUUGGGAUAACUUCAGGAAACUGGGGCUAAUACCGGAUAGGAGCUCCUGCUGCAUGGUGGGGGUUGGAAAGUUUCGGCGGUUGGGGAUGGACUCGCGGCUUAUCAGCUUGUUGGUGGGGUAGUGGCUUACCAAGGCUUUGACGGGUAGCCGGCCUGAGAGGGUGACCGGCCACAUUGGGACUGGGAUACGGCCCAGACUCCUACGGGAGGCAGCAGUGGGGAAUAUUGCACAAUGGGUGGAAGCCUGAUGCAGCAACGCCGUGUGCGGGAUGACGGCCUUCGGGUUGUAAACCGCUUUCGCUCAUGACGAAGCUUUGUGUGACGGUAGUGGGUAAAGAAGCACCGGCUAACUACGUG
rnacentral:rRNA from 1 species